rnacentral:rRNA from 1 species
CCUACGGGUGGCAGCAGUCGAGAAUCAUUCACAACGGGGGAAACCCUGAUGGUGCGACGCCGCGUGGGGGAAUGAAGGUCUUCGGAUUGUAAACCCCUGUCAUGUGGGAGCAAAUUAAAAAGAUAGUACCACAAGAGGAAGAGACGGCUAACUCUGUGCCAGCAGCCGCGGUAAUACAGAGGUCUCAAGCGUUGUUCGGAAUCACUGGGCGUAAAGCGUGCGUAGGCUGUUUCGUAAGUCGUGUGUGAAAGGCGCGGGCUCAACCCGCGGACGGCACAUGAUACUGCGAGACUAGAGUAAGGGAGGGGGAACCGGAAUUCUCGGUGUAGCAGUGAAAUGCGUAGAUAUCGAGAGGAACACUCGUGGCGAAGGCGGGUUCCUGGACAUUAACUGACGCUGAGGCACGAAGGCCAGGGGAGCGAAAGGGAUUAGAUACCCCUGUAGUC